GUUAAGCGACUAAGCGUACACGGUGGAUGCCCUGGCAGUCAGAGGCGAUGAAGGACGUGCUAAUCUGCGAUAAGCGUCGGUGAGGUGAUAUGAACCGUUAUAACCGGCGAUUUCCGAAUGGGGAAACCCAGUGUGUUUCGACACACUAUCAUUAACUGAAUCCAUAGGUUAAUGAGGCGAACCGGGGGAACUGAAACAUCUAAGUACCCCGAGGAAAAGAAAUCAACCGAGAUUCCCCCAGUAGCGGCGAGCGAACGGGGAGGAGCCCAGAGCCUGAAUCAGUGUGUGUGUUAGUGGAAGCGUCUGGAAAGGCGCGCGAUACAGGGUGACAGCCCCGUACACAAAAAUGCACAUAUUGUGAGCUCGAUGAGUAGGGCGGGACACGUGGUAUCCUGUCUGAAUAUGGGGGGACCAUCCUCCAAGGCUAAAUACUCCUGACUGACCGAUAGUGAACCAGUACCGUGAGGGAAAGGCGAAAAGAACCCCGGCGAGGGGAGUGAAAAAGAACCUGAAACCGUGUACGUACAAGCAGUGGGAGCCUCUUUAUGGGGUGACUGCGUACCUUUUGUAUAAUGGGUCAGCGACUUAUAUUCUGUAGCAAGGUUAACCGAAUAGGGGAGCCGAAGGGAAACCGAGUCUUAACUGGGCGUUAAGUUGCAGGGUAUAGACCCGAAACCCGGUGAUCUAGCCAUGGGCAGGUUGAAGGUUGGGUAACACUAACUGGAGGACCGAACCGACUAAUGUUGAAAAAUUAGCGGAUGACUUGUGGCUGGGGGUGAAAGGCCAAUCAAACCGGGAGAUAGCUGGUUCUCCCCGAAAGCUAUUUAGGUAGCGCCUCGUGAAUUCAUCUCCGGGGGUAGAGCACUGUUUCGGCAAGGGGGUCAUCCCGACUUACCAACCCGAUGCAAACUGCGAAUACCGGAGAAUGUUAUCACGGGAGACACACGGCGGGUGCUAACGUCCGUCGUGAAGAGGGAAACAACCCAGACCGCCAGCUAAGGUCCCAAAGUCAUGGUUAAGUGGGAAACGAUGUGGGAAGGCCCAGACAGCCAGGAUGUUGGCUUAGAAGCAGCCAUCAUUUAAAGAAAGCGUAAUAGCUCACUGGUCGAGUCGGCCUGCGCGGAAGAUGUAACGGGGCUAAACCAUGCACCGAAGCUGCGGCAGCGACACUAUGUGUUGUUGGGUAGGGGAGCGUUCUGUAAGCCUGUGAAGGUGGCCUGUGAGGGUUGCUGGAGGUAUCAGAAGUGCGAAUGCUGACAUAAGUAACGAUAAAGCGGGUGAAAAGCCCGCUCGCCGGAAGACCAAGGGUUCCUGUCCAACGUUAAUCGGGGCAGGGUGAGUCGACCCCUAAGGCGAGGCCGAAAGGCGUAGUCGAUGGGAAACAGGUUAAUAUUCCUGUACUUGGUGUUACUGCGAAGGGGGGACGGAGAAGGCUAUGUUGGCCGGGCGACGGUUGUCCCGGUUUAAGCGUGUAGGCUGGUUUUCCAGGCAAAUCCGGAAAACCAAGGCUGAGGCGUGAUGACGAGGCACUACGGUGCUGAAGCGACAAAUGCCCUGCUUCCAGGAAAAGCCUCUAAGCAUCAGGUAACAUCAAAUCGUACCCCAAACCGACACAGGUGGUCAGGUAGAGAAUACCAAGGCGCUUGAGAGAACUCGGGUGAAGGAACUAGGCAAAAUGGUGCCGUAACUUCGGGAGAAGGCACGCUGAUAUGUAGGUGAAGCGACUUGCUCGUGGAGCUGAAAUCAGUCGAAGAUACCAGCUGGCUGCAACUGUUUAUUAAAAACACAGCACUGUGCAAACACGAAAGUGGACGUAUACGGUGUGACGCCUGCCCGGUGCCGGAAGGUUAAUUGAUGGGGUUAGCGGUAACGCGAAGCUCUUGAUCGAAGCCCCGGUAAACGGCGGCCGUAACUAUAACGGUCCUAAGGUAGCGAAAUUCCUUGUCGGGUAAGUUCCGACCUGCACGAAUGGCGUAAUGAUGGCCAGGCUGUCUCCACCCGAGACUCAGUGAAAUUGAACUCGCUGUGAAGAUGCAGUGUACCCGCGGCAAGACGGAAAGACCCCGUGAACCUUUACUAUAGCUUGACACUGAACAUUGAGCCUUGAUGUGUAGGAUAGGUGGGAGGCUUUGAAGUGUGGACGCCAGUCUGCAUGGAGCCGACCUUGAAAUACCACCCUUUAAUGUUUGAUGUUCUAACGUUGGCCCGUAAUCCGGGUUGCGGACAGUGUCUGGUGGGUAGUUUGACUGGGGCGGUCUCCUCCUAAAGAGUAACGGAGGAGCACGAAGGUUGGCUAAUCCUGGUCGGACAUCAGGAGGUUAGUGCAAUGGCAUAAGCCAGCUUGACUGCGAGCGUGACGGCGCGAGCAGGUGCGAAAGCAGGUCAUAGUGAUCCGGUGGUUCUGAAUGGAAGGGCCAUCGCUCAACGGAUAAAAGGUACUCCGGGGAUAACAGGCUGAUACCGCCCAAGAGUUCAUAUCGACGGCGGUGUUUGGCACCUCGAUGUCGGCUCAUCACAUCCUGGGGCUGAAGUAGGUCCCAAGGGUAUGGCUGUUCGCCAUUUAAAGUGGUACGCGAGCUGGGUUUAGAACGUCGUGAGACAGUUCGGUCCCUAUCUGCCGUGGGCGCUGGAGAACUGAGGGGGGCUGCUCCUAGUACGAGAGGACCGGAGUGGACGCAUCACUGGUGUUCGGGUUGUCAUGCCAAUGGCACUGCCCGGUAGCUAAAUGCGGAAGAGAUAAGUGCUGAAAGCAUCUAAGCACGAAACUUGCCCCGAGAUGAGUUCUCCCUGACUCCUUGAGAGUCCUGAAGGAACGUUGAAGACGACGACGUUGAUAGGCCGGGUGUGUAAGCGCAGCGAUGCGUUGAGCUAACCGGUACUAAUGAACCGUGAGGCUUAACCUUACAACG
rnacentral:rRNA from 1 species